rnacentral:rRNA from 1 species
AACGUAGGUGGCAAGCGUUGUCCGGAUUUACUGGGCGUAAAGGGCGCGUAGGUGGCCUUCUAAGUUGAACGUGAAAUCCCUGGGCUCAACCCAGGAACUGCGUCCAAGACUGGGAGGCUUGAAUCCGGGAGAGGGAUGCGGAAUUCCAGGUGUAGCGGUGAAAUGCGUAGAUAUCUGGAGGAACACCGGUGGCGAAGGCGGCAUCCUGGACCGGUAUUGACACUGAGGCGCGAAAGCCAGGGGAGCAAACGGG